ACGGCCGCAUCAUGUAGAAUCACCAGUUCUCGUACGAUCACCGAAGUUAAGCAACGUCGAUCCUGGUCAUUACCUAGAUGGGUGAACGUUUGGGAAUACAGGUG